AUACGGAGGGUGCAAGCGUUAUUCGGAAUCACUGGGCGUAAAGGACGCGUAGGCGGGUUGGCAAGUCAGAUGUGAAAUCCUACAGCUUAACUGUAGAACUGCAUUUGAAACUGCUAACCUAGAGUAUGGGAGGGGGAGAUGGAAUUAGUGGUGUAGGGGUAAAAUCCGUAGAUAUCACUAGGAAUACCGAAAGCGAAGGCGAUCUCCUGGAACAUAACUGACGCUGAGGCGUGAAAUCGUGGGGAGCAAACAGGGUUAGAAACCCUAGUAGUCC
rnacentral:rRNA from 1 species